AAAUUCUUAGGGGAGAAGGAAACAAGGAUGCUUAUUCUUAAGCCCUUGAAACCAUGCUGUAGAGAAACCCAGGCAACUUGGAGAGCACACAUGUAAAGAUUCCAGCUAACAGCCUCAGUUAAUAUUUUAGCCAAAGCCAGUAUUUACUGCAAGACAUUUGAAUGAACAAUCUUUUGGAUGUUUCCAGCUCCUGCUUUGAAGUCUUUCAGCUGAGUCCCUAAUACCAAAAGCAAGAACAAGCUGUCUCUACCGUGUUCUGUCCAAGUUCCUGACCCACAGAAUUUAUGAGCGUAAUAAAUGGUUGCUUAGGCUACUAAAUGUUGGGCUAACUUGUUAUGCAACCAUACAGACUGGAACAGAGAGUGGGGUUUUUUGUGACAACAAAAGCAACAACAACAAAAAGCUUAAAACAUGUGGGAAUGACUCUGGAACCAGGAAGUGCGUAGACAAGUUGGAAUAACCUUUUAAAGAGUGUUAAUCCCACUACUUUGGGAGGCCAAGUUGGGAGGAUCGCUUGAGGCCAAGAGUUUGAGACCAGCCCAGGCAAAACAGUGAGACACCAUGUCUAUGAAAAAUUAAAACAAAAAAAUUAGCUGGGUGUGGUGGUGCAUGCUUGUAGUCCUAGGUACUUGGGAGAUUAAGGUCGGAAGAUUGCUUGAGCCCAGGAAUUGGAGGCUGCAGUGAGCUAUGGACAUGCCACUGCCUUCUAGACUGGGCAACACAGCAAGACCCUGUCUCAAAAAAAAAAGUGUUAAUAAUGAAAGUGUGAAAGGCUUUAAAACAGCUGUUAGCACAAGCCAAGUUACUUGAGGAAUUGUCAGUAUGGGCUUAAGGAAAAGUGAAGGAAAUAUUAUUGGAAAUUGAAGAAAAGAAGCUUUGUUACAUAUUGGUAGAAUAUUUUGCAAAAUGUUAUCUCUGAUAAUGUGUAGAAUUAUAAAUUGUACCUAAUAAUCUGGCUGAUUUAUCUAAGGAGAAUUCCAAGUAAGAGUUUUGAAGUCACUGCCUGGAUUCUCUAGCUCCAGAUAGUAAAGUGGAAAAGAAGAAACAUGAGCCAAAAAAUAAAUUAUUCCAUUUUAAAGUUUAUAGAAAAUAUCAAGUAGCCAGAAAUUCUUGGGUUAAAAAUAUCUGUUUCUUAUUCCCAAUCUUUCCAAAACUCUCAAAUCUAAAAAGACCCUCAGAGCAAAGAUCAAAUCCACUGUGGGAUUAUAUGGUCAUCUGUUUAGACCUCAGAAAUAUUUUAACAGGCACCUCCAAGAACUGUUCAGUCAGACCAAAAGCUCUUUGAGGAUUUUAGCAUGUCACAGAGAGCCUCUUCUCUGACAACAGAGGUUCUAAGAAUUGCAAGGGUUUUGACCCUCAACAGCUUUCCAAAAAUCUCAUGAUAGAGAAGGGCUUAUCUUGGCCCAGCACAGUGGCUCACAACUAUAAUCCCAGCACCAUGCGGGGCCAUGGUAAGAAGAUCACUUGAAGCCAGGAGUUUGAGACUAGCCUGGGCAAUACAGCAACAUCCCUGUAUACAAAAGAGAGAGGUGGAGUCUUAUCUUGAGGAAAGUUGGGAUUAUCACUUUCAUAUAACAAUGUGAUCCCUAAAAAAUUCAUAGCAAGCCCACAGAGUUUUAAAGAGAAUUAUAGUAGCUCUAAGUAGACUGCAAUAAGUAAUGAUGCAUGAUUUAAUCCCUAGAGUAAAUACUAAAAAAAUACAAAGAAAUAUAACAAAACCUAUUCAAGUAAGUAAAAUGGAAUGCUAAACAAAAUUUUAUUUACCUAAAGCAGACAGAAAGGGAAGAAUAGAAGAAGCAAUAAUAGAUUGAAAAAAUAAAAAAGAAAUAGCAAUGUGGUAAACUUCAAUCCAACCAUAUCAAUAAUUCUAUUAACUGUAAAUAACCAACAUAAUUAAAAGGCAGAGAUUGCCAGACAAAAUUUUUUUAAAUCAAAACUCAACUAUAAACUCUUUACAAGAGACAAGCUUUUAAAUAUGAAUGCUUAGAUCCUGCAAUAAACUGUCUUUACUCCGUGUGUGUGUGUGUGUGUGUGUGUGUGUGUGUGUGUGUGUGUGUUUUGAGACAUGGUCUCACUGUCUCACCCAGGCUGGAGUGCAGUGGCAUGGUCACAUACGUCUCACUGCAACCUCGACCUCCUGGGCUCAAUCAAUCCUCCCACCUCUGCCUUCUGAGUAGCUGGGACUACAGGUGCACACCACCAUGCCUGGCUAAUUUUUGUAUUUUGUUGUAGAGGUGGGGUUUCUCCAUGUUGCCCAGGCUGGUCUCAAAAUCCUGGGCUCAACUUAUCCGCCCAUCUCAGCCUCUCAAAGUACUGGGAUUACAGGUGUGAGCCACCACAUUCAGCCUUGACUCCAUUCUUGAUGUUUGGCUGCCGACAGCUUACAAGCCCCACCCUUGCCCCUUUUGUCCCACAUACAGGCAAACCAGUAAGAAAGCCCACAGGCUCUCCUCUGUCCCCUUGAUACUGAAAGUUCAAACCACACAAGUCUCCUACACUGGCCCACCCCCAGCCACAACAUAAACCAAAUUCACUUGUCCCAGUCACCCUCUUGGCUGAAGCCAUUCUUGACUCCCUUGUACCUACCCUGCUCUCCUGAAAAAGUCCCAUUAUGUGAGUAAUAAAUUUUUUCAUACCCUCUUGAUAAGAAUGGCAUCAUCAGUCUUGACAUCCAAACCUAUUUUGAGCAGCGAAGUUAAUCCUGCCCUCCAUGAGGCCACCACACAGCAAAUUAAAAGUAAAAAGAUAGAGAAAAAGGAACAUGUACCCAGAAAGCAAAAGAUGAUGAGGCUAUAUUGUUACAAGACAAAGUAGGCUUUAAGAUAAGGAAUAUUGUCAGGGAUAGGGAGGUGAUUUGGUAAUGAUGAAAGAUUCUAUUCAUCAAGACUACAAACAAUCCUAAAUAUGUAUGCAUCUAUAUCGGAUCUUAAAUAUUAAAAUAAGAUACAUCUUACAGAACCAAAGGAAGAAACAGACAAAUCCAUAAUCAUAGUUGGAGAUUUUAAUACCAAUCUCCUAGUAAUAGAAGCAACAGACAAAAGUUUAGUAAGGAUUUAGAUUUGAACAGCACUAUCAACCAAUUUGACUUAAUUGACUUUUAUAGAAGCGUAUACCUUAUAACCACUUAACGUAUAUGUGUAUUUGUCAAGUGCAUAUGGAAUGUUCAGAUAGAACACUUACUGGGCCAUAAAAUAAGUGUCAACAGUUUCAAAAGAUUGAAAUACAGAACAUGUUCUAUGACCACAAUGAAAUUAAAAUUAAGAAUAAAUAACAAUGAGAUAUCUAGAAAACUCCUAAGUAUUGGAAAUUAAACAGCAUAUUCUCAAUGACCAAAUAAGAUAAUGAAAUAAGUUUUAAAAUUUUUUAACUAAAUGAUAAUGAAAACACAACAUAUAAAAACUUGUGAGAUAUAGCUAAAGCACUGAUUCCCGGGAAAUUUGAAGACUUAUAUUAGAAAACAAGAAAAGUUUAAAAUUAAUGAGCUAUGUUUCCAUCCUCAGAAGCUAGAAGAGCAAAUUAAAUGCAAAACAAGUGAUAUGGUUUGGCUGUGUUCCCACCCAAAUCUCAUCUUGAAUUGUAGCUCACAUAAUCCCCACGUGUGGUAGGGACCUGGUGGGAGGUAAUUGAAUCAUCAGGGUGGGUCUUUCCUGUGCUGUUCUUAAAGUGAAUAAGUCUCAUGAGAUUUAAUGGAUUUUUAAAGUUCAGUUCCCCUGCACACGCUCAUUUGCCUGCCACCAUGUAAGACAUGACUUUGCUCCUCCUUUGUCUUCCACCAUGAUUGUGAGGCCUCCCUAAACAUCUGGAACUGUGAGUCCAUUAAAC
rnacentral:lncRNA from 1 species